UGGGGAAUAUUGGACAAUGGGCGAGAGCCUGAUCCAGCCAUGCCGCGUGUGUGAAGAAGGUCUUCGGAUUGUAAAGCACUUUAAGUUGGGAGGAAGGGCAGUAAGCGAAUACCUUGCUGUUUUGACGUUACCGACAGAAUAAGCACCGGCUAACUCUGUGCCAGCAGCCGCGGUAAUACAGAGGGUGCAAGCGUUAAUCGGAAUUACUGGGCGUAAAGCGCGCGUAGGUGGUUCGUUAUGUUGGAUGUGAAAGCCCCGGGCUCAACCUGGGAACUGCAUCCAAAACUGGCGAGCUAGAGUAGGGCAGAGGGUGGUGGAAUUUCCUGUGUAGCGGUGAAAUGCGUAGAUAUAGGAAGGAACACCAGUGGCGAAGGCGACCACCUGGGCUCAUACUGACACUGAGGUGCGAAAGCGUGGGGAGCAAACAGG
rnacentral:rRNA from 1 species